rnacentral:rRNA from 1 species
CCAACAGGGAUUGCCCUAGUAACGGCGAGUGAAGCGGCAACAGCUCAAAUUUGAAAUCUGGCCCCAGGCCCGAGUUGUAAUUUGCAGAGGAUGCUUCGGGCGCGGUGCCUUCCAAGUCCCCUGGAACGGGGCGCCAUGGAGGGUGAGAGCCCCGUAUGGUCGGACACCAAGCCUAUGUGAAGCUCCUUCGACGAGUCGAGUAGUUUGGGAAUGCUGCUCUAAAUGGGAGGUAGACCCCUUCUAAAGCUAAAUACCGGCUAGAGACCGAUAGCGCACAAGUAGAGUGAUCGAAAGAUGAAAAGAACUUUGAAAAGAGGGUUAAACAGCACGUGAAAUUGUUAAAAGGGAAGCGCUUGUGACCAGACUUGCGCCGGGGCGAUCAUCUGGCGUUCUCGCCGGUGCACUCGCCCCGGCCCAGGCCAGCGUCGGUUCGGGAGGGGGGACAAGGACGUUGGGGACGUGGCUCCCCCGGGAGUGUUACAGCCCAGCGUGUCAUGCCCCCGCCCGGACCGAGGUUCGCGCUCUGCAAGGACGCUGGCGUAAUGGUCAUCAGCGGCCCGUCUUGAAACACGGACCAAGGAGUCGAGGUUCUGCGCGAGUGUUUGGGUGCCAAACCCGCACGCGUAAUGAAAGUGAACGUAGGUGGGAGCCUCGGCGCACCACCGACCGAUCCUGAUGUUUUCGGAUGGAUUUGAGUACGAGCGUUGGGCCUCGGACCCGAAAGAUGGUGAACUAUGCUUGGAUAGGGUGAAGCCAGAGGAAACUCUGGUGGAGGCUCGCAGCGGUUCUGACGUGCAAAUCGAUCGUCAAAUCUGAGCAUGGGGGGCGAAAGACUAAUCGAACCAU